UACGUAGGGUGCGAGCGUUGUCCGGAAUUAUUGGGCGUAAAGAGCUCGUAGGCGGUUUGUUGCGUCUAUCGUGAAAACCUGCAGCUUAACUGUGGGCUUGCGGUGGAUACGGGCAGACUUGAGUUCGGUAGGGGAGACUGGAAUUCCUGGUGUAGCGGUGAAAUGCGCAGAUAUCGAGAGGAACACCGGUGGCGAAGGCGGGUCUCUGGGCAGUAACUGACGCUGAGGAGCGAAAGCGUGGGGAGCGAACAGG
rnacentral:rRNA from 1 species